AUACUUUCCUGGCAGGGAAGAUUCCAUAAUCAUAAAGGUGGUUUCUCCAGGGUUAGGCUUAUCAAUUGCCCUCUGGAUGGGUUGACCCCUGGGAUUUCCCCAAAUGGGGGAAACUCUACUGCCUAAUUUGUGAUAGUGGGGGACUGUGUUUGUGCUUUCCCCUA